rnacentral:rRNA from 1 species
GACGAACGCUGGCGGCGUGCUUAACACAUGCAAGUCGAACGAUGAAGCCGGAGCUUGCUCUGGUGAAUUAGUGGCGAACGAGUGAGUAACACGUGAGUAACCUGCCCUUGACUCUGGGAUAACUGCGGGAAACUGUAGCUAAUACCGGAUACGACCCUCGGAGGCAUCUCCUGGGGGUGGAAAGAAUUUCGGUCAAGGAUGGACUCGCGGCCUAUCAGCUAGUUGGUGAGGUAAAGGCUCACCAAGGCGACGACGGGUAGCCGGCCUGAGAGGGGGACAGGCCACACUGGGACUGAGACACGGCCCAGACUCCUACGGGAGGCAGCAGUGGGGAAUAUUGCACAAUGGGCGCAAGCCUGAUGCAGCAACGCCGCGUGAGGGAUGACGGCCUUCGGGUUGUAAACCUCUUUUAGCAGGGAAGAAGCGAAAGUGACGGUACCUGCAGAAAAAGCACCGGCUAACUACGUGCCAGCCGCCGCCGUAA